GACGAACGCUGGCGGCGUGCCUAAUACAUGCAAGUCGAACGAACUCUGGUAUUGAUUGGUGCUUGCAUCAUGAUUUACAUUAGAGUGAGUGGCGAACUGGUGAGUAACACGUGGGAAACCUGCCCAGAAGCGGGGGAUAACACCUGGAAACAGAUGCUAAUACCGCAUAACAACUUGGACCGCAUGGUCCGAGCUUGAAAGAUGGCUUCGGCUAUCACUUUUGGAUGGUUCCACGGCGUAUUAGCUAGAUGGUGGGGUAAUGGCUCACCAUGGCAAUGAUACGUAGCCGACCUGAGAGGGUAAUCGGCCACAUUGGGACUGAGACACGGCCCAAACUCCUACGGGAGGCAGCAGUAGGGAAUCUUCCACAAUGGACGAAAGUCUGAUGGAGCAACGCCGCGUGAGUGAAGAAGGGUUUCGGCUCGUAAAACUCUGUUGUUAAAGAAGAACAUAUCUGAGAGUAACUGUUCAGGUAUUGACGGUAUUUAACCAGAAAGCCACGGCUAACUACGUGCCAGCCGCCGCGGUAA
rnacentral:rRNA from 1 species